AUUGCCUAAACAUCCCUUUCUCGCUCCCUUUCUUCAUACGAGCGUCCUCAAAAACUGGCAAGAGUAUGAAAACUGGAUCAACUUUUGUUGUAAUAUAUAAGCUUCCAUCUUCGCAAACGUAAUCCCCUAAGAACAAAGAGCCAUGUGACUGCUUAAACCAAUUAAGCUCUUGAAAAAACCCAUCCAAGAAGACAUAACUAGUUGCUGUGCCUGAUCUUGGAUGGCGCAAUGAUA
rnacentral:misc_RNA from 1 species